rnacentral:lncRNA from 1 species
GCAAUGAUUACACUAAAGAAAAACCUUCAGGCCUGCCAAUUCAGACAUCACUACCCUUAACAGUGAGUGAGUCACUUAGAAGGCCUGUCUUCAACAUUUGCUCCUCAAGGGGAAUCUAUGCUGGAUGUCUGAGCGGGGGAUUAAUCAAAACAACAAAACAAUGAGCAAACAGAGAGGGAUGUGCAGAAGAGCCCAGAACUCUGCCAGUGUGGCUGCACACGCAGUCAAGUCGGACUCGGUCAUCCACACGCGCUCGCUUUCUCUGUGCCUGGCCCUGUGCUGUAGGGUCAGAAGCUGAAGAGAAUGCCCCCCGAACCUGCAGAAGAACAUUCCGAAGAGUGGCAGCUCCAUUUCUGUUUUCCCAGUCAAAAUGUGUCCAUCAGGAGACUUUGCUAAAGAAGU